GAUGAACGCUGGCGGCGUGCCUAAUACAUGCAAGUCGAGCGAACAGACGAGGAGCUUGCUCCUCUGACGUUAGCGGCGGACGGGUGAGUAACACGUGGAUAACCUACCUAUAAGACUGGGAUAACUUCGGGAAACCGGAGCUAAUACCGGAUAAUAUAUUGAACCGCAUGGUUCAAUAGUGAAAGACGGUUUUGCUGUCACUUAUAGAUGGAUCCGCGCCGCAUUAGCUAGUUGGUAAGGUAACGGCUUACCAAGGCAACGAUGCGUAGCCGACCUGAGAGGGUGAUCGGCCACACUGGAACUGAGAUACGGUCCAGACUCCGACGGGAGGCAGCAGUAGGGAAUCUUCCGCAAAGGGCGAAAGCCUGACGGAGCAACGCCGCGUGAGUGAUGAAGAUCUUCGGAUCGUAAAACUCUGUUAUUAGGGAAGAACAAAUGUGUAAGUAACUAUGCACGUCUUGACGGUACCUAAUCAGAAAGCCACGGCUAACUACGUG
rnacentral:rRNA from 1 species